rnacentral:tRNA from 1 species
GCGCUCGUAGCUCAGCUGGAUAGAGCACCAGACUACGAAUCUGGGGGUCGGGAGUUCGAAUCUCUCCGAGCGCG